AGUGAACAAAAUGUAUUACUUAAUUGAACUGUUAAUUCUAUUUAUUUGUAUAUAGUUCUAUAUAGACAAAUGUUAUUACUGAAAACUGCCUUCAUAAACACAGAAAAGAAAUGCAAUGAGGAUCAUACCUGCCGCAAAUUGGACAGUUCUGUGUUGGUCCGGACUUGUUUAGACUUGGCAGAUUGAAGAAGCUGAUCUUGUCUAUUUGCUUUCUCAACUGUUUUAAAACAAUUAUUUUCCCCAUAGAAAUCAAAGUGCAAAACGAAAUACAGCCAAGAGAAAUCUCAAAUACACACAAGAGAGAAUGUCAUAAAAAGUAAUAUUAACCUAAAAAGUCUCAAGAUCAACACAAUGCUUUUUCAUGAACAAGACAGACACCUCUUUCUAUAACUCAUGGGCCAACUAAAUAAAACAUUCAGGUCUUCUCAUUUUGUCUGGUAGAUGCUGAUGCAAUAGUGAAAGCUUCCCACUCUACUAACAGUCUCAUGCUGAAUUGAAGACGAUUUGCUCUGAACUCUGGACAAUCAGAAAUGGUGUUUACAGAAGUCCACUAUGCUUUCUGAAUACAUGGGUUUCUGGUUUGUUGAAGAUUUUUCCACUUUCAGUCAAGUCAACCAUCCAGCAAUCUGAUCACACCACAUUAGGUAAUGGCAUUAGAGUUUUGUUCAGAUACUUUGGCAUGCAGUGAGAAGAUGACAGAUGUUACCUUUAGCUUUAGCAUCGUAAUGAGUUCCUGUUCUCUAGCUUGUAACUGGCCUAUUUUAGCAGACAGCUCCAACACUGAACAGUUGAGACUUUGAUUUUUCUCCUAAUAAAUAGGAAGGAAAAAAGUAUCAACUAGUGACUAGUUACACUGUUACUAAAUAAACUUUCAGUAAUGCAA